GAUGAACGCUGGCGGCGUGCCUAAUACAUGCAAGUCGAGCGAACAGAUAAGGAGCUUGCUCCUUUGACGUUAGCGGCGGACGGGUGAGUAACACGUGGGUAACCUACCUAUAAGACUGGGAUAACUUCGGGAAACCGGAGCUAAUACCGGAUAACAUUUGGAACCGCAUGGUUCUAAAGUGAAAGAUGGUUUUGCUAUCACUUAUAGAUGGACCCGCGCCGUAUUAGCUAGUUGGUAAGGUAACGGCUUCCAAGGCAACGAUACGUAGCCGACCUGAGAGGGUGAUCGGCCACACUGGAACUGAGACACGGUCCAGACUCCUACGGGAGGCAGCAGUAGGGAAUCUUCCGCAAUGGGCGAAAGCCUGACGGAGCAACGCCGCGUGAGUGAUGAAGGGUUUCGGCUCGUAAAACUCUGUUAUUAGGGAAGAACAAACGUGUAAGUAACUGUGCACGUCUUGACGGUACCUAAUCAGAAAGCCACGGCUAACUACGUG
rnacentral:rRNA from 1 species